UACAGAGGUUGCGAGCGUUAAUCGGAAUGACUGGGCGUAAAGGGCGCGUAGGUGGAUAUGUGUGUUGGAUGUGAAAGCCCCGGGCUUAACCUGGGAACGGCAUACAAAACUGCAUAUCUAGAGUGGAGCAGAGGUGAGUGGAAUUUCCGGAGUAGCGGUGAAAUGCGUAGAUACCGGAAGGAACACCAGUGGCGAAGGCGACUCACUGGGCUUUUACUGACACUGAGGCGCGAAAGCGUGGGGAGCAAACAGG
rnacentral:rRNA from 1 species